rnacentral:rRNA from 1 species
UACGGGGGGGGGCAAGCGUUGUUCGGAUUUACUGGGCGUAAAGAGCGCGCAGGCGGUCGUACAAGUCGCGUGUGAAAGCCCCCCGGCUCAACUGGGGGAGGGUCACGCGAUACUGUUCGACUCGAAGGCAGGAGAGGGGAAGUGGAAUUCCCGGUGUAGUGGUGAAAUGCGUAGAUAUCGGGGAGGAACACCAGUGGCGAAGGC